rnacentral:rRNA from 1 species
UACGUAGGGUGCGAGCGUUGUCCGGAAUUAUUGGGCGUAAAGAGCUUGUAGGCGGUUUGUCGCGUCUGCUGUGAAAUUUCGGGGCUCAACCCCGAACUUGCAGUGGGUACGGGCAGACUAGAGUGUGGUAGGGGAGACUGGAAUUCCUGGUGUAGCGGUGGUAAAAUGCGCAGAUAUCAGGGAGGAACACCGGUGGCGAAGGCGGGUCUCUGGGCCGAUACUGACGCUGAGGAGCGAAAGCGUGGGGAGCGAACAGG